rnacentral:tRNA from 1 species
GCCCGGGUGGCCGAGUGGUAAAGGCGGCGGGCUGCAGACCCGCUUAUUGUGGGUUCAAAUCCCACCCCGGGCU